AAACCCAAAAGAUCGAAUGAGGAGAUUCAUCGUCAGCUCAUUUUGUAUAUAUAUAUGUUAUGAUAUGGGUUACUACUUGUAGUAUUGCUUAUACAUACUUAUAUAUUUAAUUGCAAGAUGUUGUCGGCGUGCACUUCUUCUCUAGUAGGACGUCGCGACCCGCCNAGUGGUAGUCUUUAAUAUUUUAUUAUAUUAAAGUCCCUUGGUGUUUUCUGACUGGCUACUCGGCGGUAYUCGCACGGUAUCCAUUCCCGUNNNNNNNNNNNNNNNNCGCAAGCGAGGCCAUUUACUGAUAGUACGGACCUAGUGCCGUCGUUGGUAUUGGCCAGCUGUUUGGUUGUUACGGUGUUCUAGGACUGACUUAUAAUAAUUACCGGUCGGCGAUGCUACUGCUUUGGGUACUUUCAGGACCCGUCUUGAAACACGGA
rnacentral:rRNA from 1 species